rnacentral:tRNA from 1 species
AGGGAUGUAGCGCAGCUUGGUAGCGCGUUUGUUUUGGGUAUAAAAUGUCACAGGUUCAUAUCCUGUCAUCCCUA